rnacentral:rRNA from 1 species
UACGAAGGGGGCUAGCGUUGCUCGGAAUCACUGGGCGUAAAGGGCGCGUAGGCGGCCAUUCAAGUCAGAGGUGAAAGCCCAAGGCUCAACCUUGGAACUGCCUUUGAUACUGUUUGGCUUGAGACCGGUAGAGGUAAGUGGAACUGCGAGUGUAGAGGUGAAAUUCGUAGAUAUCAAGCAGAACACCUGCGGCGAAGGCGGCCUUCUGGACGAUGACUGACGCUGAGACGCGAAAGCGUGGUGAGCAAACAGG